UUUUUUUUUUUUUAAUUGUUCAAUCCUGUAAACAAAAAACCUCCUCCAGAGGAGAAAAAAAUGCUAGAAAAAAUGCUUGCCAAGCAAACUCUCAAGAUGAGAGUGAUUUAACACUUUUUCAGAGACUAACGCUGUCUGGGGCUUUCACCUUCAAACAGAGACCACGUCUGUUCGGGCACCGCCGUGCCUGUGGGCUUGGAAUGCCAGGGUUACAUAAUUUAAAAUUGAGUGGCACUUGUGGUAUUUGGCCACCCAGAGCCAAGUCUGACAUGCUUUUAAGGUGGUUUGGGUAGAGGGUGGCAAGAACGUUAUGUUCUGCUCAAAGAAAUCACAUCAAGGGACCUGUCGGCUCUAAAGAGCAUGGGCCACCACGCUUUGUCCCCACCUCAGCCCCCGGCAGGUGCCAAAGGCCCCCUGAUCCUUCCCUCUUCUCAUAGGCUUCAGUGAAAGGGUUUUGAAGGUGCUGGCUCUCCCCCUGUAGGAAUAAUUGGAGUGUUUGUCAACAAACUCUAACUCCAAAGAUGGUAGGGACAACCCCAGAGGAGUUCCAGAAUAUAAGGACUUCUUGAAAUGAUGGGCAACUCUGAAGCAUUCGUAAUCUAACUGGAGCUUGUCCUGGAAACGGAGGGACACAGUGUUUGUCUGAACAUCCCCAAGCAAGUUGGUCCAUCACACUGGUCGCUAUGUGGCGACAAAGUAAUGAGCCUGUCAAGAGUCUUUUGUGUAAUUGGUCUCCUGAUGCCAUACACGAAGCCUUAUUCAUUGAAACUUGAACAAAACUAAGUAUCUUUAGUCUGCCUUGACAUUACAUUGGAUUUUCAAAUGCAAUGUAUUUAUAUUAGUAAAAUCUGAUGCUAAUUUAAUGAGACUGACCAUUUCUUCAUUUCAGAACUAGUCGUUAAGAAGUCGGCCAUUGGGGUUGCCACCAUGGCUCAGCAGAAAUGAAUCUGACUAGCAUCCAUGAGGAUGCAGGUUUGAUCCUGGCCUUGCUCAUGGGUUAAGGAUCUGGCAUGGUAGUGAGCUCUGGUGUAGGUUGCAGAUGCAUCUUGGAUCUGGCGUUGCUGUGGCUGUGGCGUAGGCCAGUGGCUAUAGCUCCGAUUGGACCCCUAGCCUGGGAACUUCCAUAUGCCGUGGGUGCAGCUCUAAAAAGACAAAAAAAAAAAAAAAAA
rnacentral:lncRNA from 1 species